UGGAAUUCUCGGUGUAGCAGUGAAAUGCGUAGAUAUCGAGAGGAACACCAGUUGCGAAGGCGGAUCUCUGGACGGUUCCUGACGCUGAGGCACGAAAGCUGGGGUAGCGAAGAGGAUUAGAUACCCUCGUAAUCCCAGCCGUAAACGAUGCGCACUUGCUGUGGGCGGAUUCGACCCCGUCCGUGGCGAAGCUAACGCGUUAAGUGCGCCGCCUGGGGAGUACGGUCGCAAGAUUAAAACUCAAAGAAAUUGACGGGGGCCUGCACAAGCGGUGGAGUAUGUGGCUCAAUUCGAUGCAACGCGAAGAACCUUACCUGGCCUUGACAUGUAGUGGACCGGGUGCGAAAUCACCCUUUCCUUCGGGACUGCUACACAGGUGCUGCAUGGCUGUCCUCACCUCGUGUCGUGAGAUGUUGGGUUAAGUCCCGCAACGAGCGCAACCCCCGUGUUCUGUUGCCACCCGGAUGAGAAUCCGGAGCACUCUGGACAGACUGCCUGGUUUCAACCAGGAGGAAGGUGGGGAUGACGUCAAGUCAGUAUGGCCCUUACGGCCAGGGCUG
rnacentral:rRNA from 1 species